GAGAGGGGAGACACAGAAACAUGGUUCCUGUAGCUAAAGAUUGACAGAUCACACUUGUCUUAACCUGAUGUGACAUUGCACCCUGCUGGCCAUCUGUCCAUGGUCCUUGUGUGACUCCUUGCUCCCUUAUGCCUUCCUCAGUGCUCAGUGGUCACAAUACCCUUAGCUCAGAGUCAUCUCUCAAUGUCAGGAACAGGAAGUGUGCUGGGGGAAGGGGGGGUGAGUGUGGAGGAGUUUCAUAUCCCCUAGGGUUCCCAAUGCCCAGUGGAGGGGGCAACUGAAACUGGAGAAAAGCACAAAGCACAAGGAACGUCAGAAACCCCCUGGCCCAGUGGCUGCGCUCUAGUAGGUCCUGAGUUUUUAGGUGAAAGUUUCUAUUCAAGCUGAGACCUUUCCUGCAUCGCAGCACUUCCCAGUUUUUGAUCAUAACAAAAAGAGGCCUAGGAUGCCUGAGGGGAGGAGCAGGCCACAAGUAGGGAGAAACCUGUGUGCCUGCAUUGCAUAUGAACGGGAGCUUCUCACAACCUGCUUUCGACUGCUCCGUGAAUGAGAAAUGAACUUCAGUUGUGAUUUCUACAUCAAGGAUACACAAGUCUCUAAAAAGAAGGAAAAACAAUUAUGUUGUUUGGGGAAGACUGCGGAGAGAAGUUUCUUCCUGAAUAAUCCUGCAGACCCUUUGUAGAUUUCAUGGCAUUAAAGUUUCUGGAACUGGGGGUUCCUUCUCCUCCUAGCAGAUGGUUUCUCCUAGGAGAAUUUUCUUAAUAAGGAACCUACACCUGAAUUUUUGGCAGAGGUUCUGCCUCUGGAAAAUAAGACAGAUGUAAGACUUAUGGACAAGUAAACCCAUCUCUCCUUGAAAAAAAAUUUUUUUUUUGAUAUUUUUAUUUAUUUUUGAGACAGAGAGAAAUAAUGAACUGGGGAGGGGCAGAGAGAGAGGGAGACAGGACCCAAAAUGGGCUCCACACUUUGAGCAGAGAGCCCAAUGCGGGGCUCAAAUUCAAGAGAGAUGAGGUCAUGACCUGAGGUGAAGUCAGACGCUUAGCUGACUGAGCCACCCAGGUGCCCCUAAACCCAUCUCUUAAUUAUACUCAGACCAAAACAACUCCCACAUUUCUAUCUUGAAGACCAUGAAAAACUAAACUUCAUUUUAUUUUACUUGUAUGGUUUAUUUUAUAGCUUCCCAUUUAUUUCUGAUUAAGCAGAAGUUGGGAAAGAAGUAAAGGAAGAAAUGCAGGCUUAGAUCAAUUGUCAGAUACUUUGGUUUCCCCUGUUUGGCUUAGCCUAACUCUGUUAUGAGAAAGCCACAGUUAGGGCUUUCCAUCUAAGUGUUUUCCUAAAGACACUGACUCCAAAACAUUUGUACUUUUUACUCAUAAGUUUUCAGUAUGCUGUGCAUAUCUGGAAUUUGCUUUUACAUCCAUGUAAUUUUUUCUUCUUCAUUUGGGCACAGCUCAUCUGUUAGUGGGCUUCCUGUAGGGUAUGAGGCUCACUGGUCAUGAUCUUGGAGCAAUACUCGGGAUCCUGUAAGUUCCAGGAUAUUUUUUUGUAUUAUCCUUAGAGACAUAAUAAUACUACUAAUAAUAAAUGUAUGUAUACAUAUAUAUAUAUUAGAGAGUGUGUGCAUAAGUGCACAAGAACAAGAAAGGAGUAGAGGGAGAGGGAGAGAAUAUUUUUUUAAGGUUUUUAUUUAUUUCUUUUGAGAGAGAGGAGAGAGUGCAUGUGUAUGGGGGAGAG